rnacentral:rRNA from 1 species
UAGGGAAUCUUCCGCAAUGGGCGAAAGCCUGACGGAGCAACGCCGCGUGAGUGAUGAAGGUCUUCGGAUCGUAAAACUCUGUUAUUAGGGAAGAACAAAUGUGUAAGUAACUAUGCACGUCUUGACGGUACCUAAUCAGAAAGCCACGGCUAACUACGUGCCAGCAGCCGCGGUAAUACGUAGGUGGCAAGCGUUAUCCGGAAUUAUUGGGCGUAAAGCGCGCGUAGGCGGUUUUUUAAGUCUGAUGUGAAAGCCCACGGCUCAACCGUGGAGGGUCAUUGGAAACUGGAACACUUGAGUGCAGAAGAGGAAAGUGGAAUUCCAUGUGUAGCGGUGAAAUGCGCAGAGAUAUGGAGGAACACCAGUGGCGAAAGCGACUUUCUGGUCUGUAACUGACGCUGAUGUGCGAAAGCGUGGGGAUCAAACAGG